UACGUGGAAACAUCGUUCCCCAUCGGAGCUCCAAAGUUAAGCAACGUGGAGCGUGGUCAGUACCUAGAUAGGUGAACUCCUGGGAAUCCCAGGUGCUGUAA